AGGUGAACGAAUUUAGUAUAAUUGCAAAGAACAAGCAUGUUCUCUUUCGUUAGCCAGUUUGUUACGGACGGGACCGGAUAUCACUUUCAUUCGUCGUUAGCGGAGAACCGACGGAGUGGUGCCAACGCGCGACAAAAGAAGCCAGUCUGAUGGCGCAUGGAACAGAGCUCAGGCUGAAUUGGGUUCUUUGGUUAGACGGUUUGUGGUUUACAUUUUAAAGAUACAAAUAAUUUAGAAUACAAUGUCUUUUACGUACUGCGCGAAAUAUGCCGGUCGGAUCUUCCACGUCAGCACCAGAGCUUGAGCUACAGAAAGUGCCGUAUUGAGAGUGGAACCAAUAAAUCCAUCGGCGUGCUGUGCGGAUCGGGAAUGGAGGAUCGAUAUCGAUUUCGAUAUACUGAUGUGGAGCUUUAUGUGCGGCGUGCAAUCUCAUCACAAAAAUCUUUCUACAAUGGUUCAUUUGUUCGUAAUGGCAAAAUUUGCGCGGAAGCGUGGAAGAAGGGUGGUCCAAAAAACAAAUGAGAACAAACUCCUAUGCCAAAAAAAUUUCACUCAGGAAAAGAAAUGGGCAGAAGACAAUCAAACGGAAUUGAACGAACAUAUGAAGACAUUUCGAGGUAAAGAAAUGCCUAAGGCAAUACAGCGAAGGAGUGAACCUUAUAAAUUCUUAGUAAGUAACAUGAUUUUGUUUGUGUUUCGUUUGUGAUUGUCUACGACUUAUCGCAAUUGUAUCGCGGAAAAAGUUUGUAUUUUGUUGUAGUUGAAGGGGCAUAGCCAUAAGUCAUCACCGUACUGGAAGAAGAUCUGCGCCCCCUUUUGAUUUUUUAGUAGAUCCUAAAUUAUUUUCUGAAAACGUGUGGGAGCAGCACAGAGAUGGAAAAGACCUGAAGUGGUCAUUCUAUCCAAAGACAUUACAA